rfam:Gossypium arboreum cultivar AKA8401 contig_43483_3, whole genome shotgun sequence.
UCUUCAAAAUUUCAUUCAUUUUUACUAUUAAAAACUGGUUUGACUGACAGAAUAAUUAUACAAUUACACGUGGCAGGCCAUGUGUGACUUAUUUUGAAGUAUAGUGAUUAGUUUUUUAACAAUAGAAAUUGAUGAAAUUUUCAAAA